GGGCGGGUGGUCUAGUGGUAUGACGCCCAGAUACUGGAGACCCUGUUAUGAGCUCUCGUCAGAGGCCAUAGAAAAAAGAAAGAAUAAAAAAAAUAACCAGCAGUCCAGGGUCGGUGUCUUCGGGAGACCCAGGUUCGAAUCCUGGCCCGCCCA
rnacentral:tRNA from 1 species